CAUCAGAUGGCUGCCAGGUUGGCCAUCAGAUGGCUGCCAGGUUGGCCAUCAGAUGGCUGCCAGGUUGGCCAUCAGAUGGCUGCCAGGUUGGCCAUUAUGUUGCACAGGCCAACAAAUAUUUGUUAUUAAAAUUAUUUUAUAAAUUUAAAAAUGUAUAUUAAGCUAAAGUUAUGCCCUAAUGUGAUUAAUUAAACAAUGUGUCAAGUUUUUAGACCAGUCCAAAGAUGGAAUCUAUACAUGAUUGAUUUAGUUUAAAUGAACAAUAUAUACUUAAGUGGUUUAGGAUGAGACUCUACUUAAGGAAUUCCAUUACACCUAAAAGCUGAUUCUUGUCUGGUUGCUUGUGUUAUGAAUCUCAUGUGUUGACUAGUCAAGCUGGCUACUUUUUCUAGUGUUUUCAAUAGCCAUGACAAUAUAACAGUCUACUGUUUUUGCUAUUCAUCUUAGCAAUAUUGUUAGCUUCAUGUGUGCAUUUAGUUUCUUACUGCCAAAAGUUGUUUAGAUAAACAGUCAGUGUUACUGUUGUUGUUCAAUUCAAAGUCUUUCCUCAUUCAUAUCACUGUAUUCAAGUUGUCAUACGUCUGUGUGUAGACUGUCCAGCCUCCCCCAUUCAAGUUGUCAUACAUCUGUGUGUAGACUGUCCAGCCUCCCCCAUUCAAGUUGUCAUACAUCUGUAUGUAGACUGUCCAGCCUCCCCCAUUCAAGUUGUCAUACAUCUGUGUGUAGACUGUCCAGCCUCCCCCAUUCAAGUUGUCAUACAUCUGUGUGUAGACUGUCCAGCCUCCCCCAUUCUCAAUCAAUGCUUGCCUGACAUAACAGCAUGUACACAAGCAUGAGGACAGUCACACACACACAGCUCAAUCAGAUAAACACACACACACACCCACAACCAAUCCCACACAUUCAUGUCUGCUCUUUAUCUAGUGGUUUGUUUUUUAAGUAUGAAAUGUAUUUUAUUUCACUUGACUGCAUAUCUUAGUCAAACUCAUUUUGAACCCUUUUUUUAAGAAUCUCUUUUUAUUACUUUUGGUUUUAUUAACUGUUGUUUUUUUGACAAGAAUGUUGGAACAAAUUGAGAUUGAGUAAUGCCAUUUUUUAAGCCCUAGUCAACCUUUCUAUAAAUAUUCUGUGAUGUUUUAUUUUGAUGAGCACAUUAUUUGUUGCACAUUUGAUAAUGGCCUUAGCCAAAAGUUUUGGGAUUCAAAUUCUCAAGUAUUAACCAUUUGCAAUCCAAACUGUUUCAAACGUGUUUAGUAUUAACAUUCUUAUUAAUAUGUAAAACUACCAAAUGUAUUUUAAACCAGGCAAUUUUUCAUUGUAUUAUUUGUGAGACAAGGCAAAUUAGUUUUUUAUUUCCAAUUUUAAAAAGCACUGACAUUUUUUGUUAGCUUCACCAAGGUCCAAUUAUAUUAUGCACUUUUUAAUACUGUUAUAAACGAACAAUAUUGUCCUUUUUUUUUUAUGUUGCAAACUAAAGUUUUAGCUUGAAUGAGGUUUAAAUUUUCUUAUUGUUUUCCUUAGAGGAAAAUUUUUUACCAAAAUUUUUAAUGACGUUUUUUUUUAAAAACAUUUCAAUUAAGUUGCAGUAAAAAUUACUGAAAUAUAGCCUAUAAUUUUUGUCCAGAUAAACUUUUGAUUUUUGGUUAGAAACAUGGCUGCACAUUUGAAAACAUGCUUGCCAUUCAUCUCUCUUCCCCCCCUCCCCCUCCAUCUGUUCACUUGUGUUGAACAUUUGAACCUUUUUGAGAUAAAUUUAUUCUUGUGGAGAAAGUUUUAAUGUUUAAAAAAAUGUUGUGUACAAUGUCAGGCUUUACUAUGUAACAAAAUGACCAGUUAACCAGAUGUUUAGUUUAGCCUGACCAGUUAACCAGAUGUUUAGUUUAGCCUGACCAGUUAACCAGAUGUUUAGUUUAGCCACUCAUAUUUAAUCAGAGAAAUCCUUUUUUUUUGUCUGUAAAUAUUUGCUGUGAUUUUGUUUCUACUGUCAACAAAUGUAACCACAGUUUUGUUAUGAAAUUUUUAAACUAUGGAAAUAUCUAUACAAAUUUCUUUCAAACUUAGUCAUGUUACAUUUUUCUUGUACCCAUAUGCAGUUUAUCUAAAAGUUGAAUUUUUGUCCAUUAAGUGUGAAAAUUACAAAUUGGAAUGAUUGGGUUUAGAGAUUUAGUGGUGUGGUCAUUCAAUUCUGUCCAUUACAAAUUAGUUGAGUUACUUCCCUUGUUUCACCCCCUCCCAGCCCUUAGAACCGUCAUUGUUUUAUUUGAGGAAAAGUGAACUCAGGACACACACAUCAUGUUCAUGGACUUAACACAUGAACAGUUGUCAUGUGAACAUGAGCACAUGUUGACAGCCUGCCAACUGACUCCAUGUGUUCUUGUACUGACUCCAUGUGUUCUUGUACUGACUCCAUGUGUUCUUGUACUGACUUCAAAUGUGUGAUCUGAUGACAUUUUCUUGUAUUUCCAGUUACCUUUUCAAAGUGAACGUGUCAUUUUUAUUUUACUUGUAAACUGCAUGUGUUUUUUGUUGUUGUUUUUUUUUCAUUUUAAAAAAUUGCUUUAAAAUGUAGAUUAUUUAGCUUUGUUUUUAUUUUUCCACUUGAUAAAAAAAUCAUUUAAAAUCAAAACUACAAUCAUCCCAUCUUAAACCAAGAAGGCAUUUAGUCUGUUAUUUAUUGGUAGCAAUCAUUCCUUCUCUGUUGUGAUCUGGCAUUUAAAUUAGUCUAGAUGUAGCUCUCACUGAUUGGUUUUUAAAUUAUUGGUGUGGUUGUCAGAGGUGGUAUCCAGGACUAUUUGCACAACUUGUGUUGUCAGACGUGAUAUCUAGAGCUAUUUGCACAACUUGUGUUGUCAGACGUGAUAUCUAGAGCUAUUUGCACAACUUGUGUUGUCAGACGUGAUAUCUAGAGCUAUUUGCACAACUUGUGUUGUCAGACGUGAUAUCUAGAGCUAUUUGCACAACUUGUCAUAUAAGAUCUGCUAAUGACAGAGCUGACCAUUUUGUCCUAGGUUGUGCCAGCUGGAGGUUGUUUGACUUGCUAGUGUUUAAAGAGGGUGGUCAAUUGUCUACUCUCAUAUUGGAUGGAGUUUUAGAUGUGCUGUGAACAGAUUUCUCCUAAUUAAUUUGGCUACAAGCCAAAAUACAAUCAAUGUAACUUUUGUAUUGUGGCCAGUUUGUUAUGGUACAAUUGAUGUAACUUUUGUAUUGUGGCCAGUUUGUUAUGGUACAAUUGAUGUAACUUUUGUACUGUGGCCAGUUUGUUAUGGUACAAUUGAUGUAACUUUUGUAUUGUGGCCAGUUUGCUAUGGUACAAUUGAUGUAACUUUUGUACUGUGGCCAGUUUGUUAUGGUACAAUUGAUGUAACUUUUGUAUUGUGGCCAGUUUGCUAUGGUACAAUUGAUGUAACUUUUGUACUGUGGCCAGUUUGUUAUGGUACAAUUGAUGUAACUUUUGUACUGUGGCCAGUUUGUUAUGGUACAAUUGAUGUAACUUUUUGAUUAGGAGAUGACUGUCCUGUCAAAGAUAGGUUGACAAAACUAAGUGAUGUUUGACCCAAAUUGAUGUUAGCAGCAAUUGUUAAAUGUUAUCAAAGGAUGCAGAAAUAAAUUCAUAUUUUCAGACAA